UACGUAGGUGGCAAGCGUUGUCCGGAUUUAUUGGGCUUAAAGGGUGCGUAGGCGGUCUAUUAAGUCAGUUGUGAAAUACGGCAGCUCAACUGUCGAGGUGCAAUUGAUACUGAUGGACUUGAGUACUGAUGAGGUAAGCGGAAUGGACGGUGUAGCAGUGAAAUGCUUAGAUAUCGUCCAGAACACCGAUAGCGAAGGCAGCUUACUAAGGAGUAACUGACGCUGAGGCACGAAAGUGUGGGGAUCAAACAGG
rnacentral:rRNA from 1 species